rnacentral:rRNA from 1 species
UGCGUAGGCGGGUCUUUAAGUCAGGGGUGAAAUCCUGGAGCUCAACUCCAGAACUGCCUUUGAUACUGAAGAUCUUGAGUUCGGGAGAGGUGAGUGGAACUGCGAGUGUAGAGGUGAAAUUCGUAGAUAUUCGCAAGAACACCAGUGGCGAAGGCGGCUCACUGGCCCGAUACUGACGCUGAGGACGAAAGCUGGGGGAGCAAACA